UACGGAGGUGGCAAGCGUUGCUCGGAAUCACUGGGCGUAAAGGGCUCGUAGGCGGUUUGUCGCGUCGGGAGUGAAAACCUACAGCUUAACUGUGGGCUUGCUUUCGAUACGGGCAGACUUGAGGCAUGCAGGGGAGAACGGAAUUCCUGGUGUAGCGGUGAAAUGCGCAGAUAUCAGGAGGAACACCGGUGGUGUAGACGGCUCACUGGACCGUAACUGACGCUGAGACACGAAAGCGUGGGUAGCAAACAGG
rnacentral:rRNA from 1 species